GUAGGGUGMAARCGUUAAUCGGAAUUACUGGGCGUAAAGCGUGCGCAGGCGGCUUUGCAAGACAGAUGUGAAAUCCCCGGGCUUAACCUGGGAACUGCAUUUGUGACUGCAUGGCUGGAGUGCGGCAGAGGGGGAUGGAAUUCCGCGUGUAGCAGUGAAAUGCGUAGAUAUGCGGAGGAACACCGAUGGCGAAGGCAAUCCCCUGGGCCUGCACUGACGCUCAUGCACGAAAGCGUGGGGAGCAAACAGGAUUAGAUACCCUGGUAGUCCACGCCCUAAACGAUGUCAACUGGUUGUUGGACGGCUUGCUGUUCAGUAACGAAGCUAACGCGUGAAGUUGACCGCCUGGGGAGUACGGCCGCAAGGUUG
rnacentral:rRNA from 1 species